CGCUGAGCUAGGAGGCUCUGAAGGAGCUACUCUGGAGAGAGGCUCAUAAGGAGCCGCUCCAAAGGAGCAGGCUCGGAACAGGUUCUGAGAGGCGCUAAGCAGACGAGCUCACAAGCGAGGAAACGGCAGGGUGCUUCUUCCAACGACUGGUUGUACGGACGGCUGACCAGGAAGAGCCAGACUAAGCAGCAAACCCACAGGAUUGCUGCAGGAAAAGCAGACACCGGACCGACAGCAGAGGAGUCCCCCUCAAAUGAACGCUCACCAGGUGGAGCAGCUCUGGAGAGGCUCCUGGCUCCAACGAAAGGACAGAACCAAAAAGACUCCGCCAACAUGCCUCCCCUUUUUUUUUUAAAUAAACUCUUUUUGCUCCCCUCUUGAA